rfam:Pelagibacterium sp. SCN 64-44 ABS76_C0070, whole genome shotgun sequence.
CGAGAGGGGUGCGCGAUUGCCCCAUGAGGCGCCAGCCGAAGUAUCGCGUCCAUCAUCAGUUCAGGACGCUGCGCCAUG